rnacentral:rRNA from 1 species
UACGAAGGGUGCAAGCGUUAGUCGGAAUUACUGGGCGUAAAGCGUGCGUAGGUGGUUUGUUAAGUCUGAUGUGAAAGCCCUGGGCUCAACCUGGGAAUUGCAUUGGAUACUGGCAGGCUAGAGUGCGGUAGAGGAUGGCGGAAUUCCCGGUGUAGCAGUGAAAUGCGUAGAGAUCGGGAGGAACAUCUGUGGCGAAGGCGGCCAUCUGGACCAGCACUGACACUGAGGCACGAAAGCGUGGGGAGCAAACAGG